UUAGCACCCAAGCAGGACCUGCUGAACCUGGGGCCCUAUAGGAGAGCACUGAUGGCCCACCCCUGAUUGUGGCCCUGGUCUUCAUGUCUGCAUCAGCCUCAGCCAUCUCAAGACCACAACAGGAACAUAGCCAAGUCAGAGAAGGAAGACCAAAAGCACCAGGGCCCUUCAUAUUAUUAAGCUGCUAAAUUAACUAAUCUUGGAAACUUCUAGACUCUACAAUUCUUGUUGUAUGAGAAAUCAUCUACUACAUAAAAUUCUGGUUUCAUACUUGGCCAUUCCUGCUUAACGGAGCUAACAAAGAAAUUUAAG
rnacentral:lncRNA from 1 species